rnacentral:ncRNA from 1 species
GAGCGCCGAAUGCUUGGAAACUGGCACGUUCGGUGCGGAGCAGGGGAAAAGCUAGAGAUGAUUUCAAAGGCUUACCUAUUGCUAC